CACGUAGGGCGCAAGCGUUGUCCGGAAUUAUUGGGCGUAAAGAGCUCGUAGGCGGUCUGUUGCGUCCGCUGUGAAAACUCGGGGCUUAACCCCGAGCCUGCAGUGGAUACGGGCAGACUAGAGUACUUCAGGGGAGACUGGAAUUCCUGGUGUAGCGGUGAAAUGCGCAGAUAUCAGGAGGAACACCGGUGGCGAAGGCGGGUCUCUGGGAAGUAACUGACGCUGAGAAGCGAAAGCAUGGGUAGCAAACAGG
rnacentral:rRNA from 1 species